CAGGAUUUCCAGUUUCCACUGUGAUCACUGUGUCUGUAAUUCUGCUGCUGCUUCUGAUUGCAAUCAUAUUCCUCACUUUGACUCUACAAAAGAGAUGCAGAGGUACAGCUUCUACUGGCAGGAGUUCUGUCCAAGGCUCAGGAAACAACCAAGGGGUUCCUCUUGAUGACUGUUACUACGAAGAGAUUAAAGACACCAGAAGACUUCCAGCCUCAGAUGAGGAAUCUUCCACAAUUUACUCUACUGCUCAACUACCCACAAUCCUCUCUGAUCCUCAAACUGUUUAUUCAAACACAGAGUUACCC
ensembl:lncRNA